GUACAAAUGCUCAUGCUGAAAAUUUAACAAUCCACAUGAGCUGACUCCAGCACACUGCUGGUUGUUUUUAGAUCCAGUAAUCUUCUUAGAUAGUCAUAAUGCGAGAGAAGUCCAGACACAUUGCCUGUAUACCGGAUAACAUCAAUUAUAUAAAGUGAUUGGAUAUGUGGAGAUGACAGCCAACAACAGGCAUACCAUGAGGAGGAAAAAAAACCAGAAAAUUCAGUAUCUUCACAGUGCUCAGGCAGCGAGGCAGAGAUCUCAGACUAAAGUACAUGAGAAUGCUAUCUCUGGAAAACUUGAGUACUUUCUGGUACUUAGAGCUAUAUUCAUGAAAUGAUUGGUACCAGAACAUCCUCCACUGGCCCAGAAUGCAUUGGCUCUACACCUUCUUAUCCUGUGCAAUCUAAGGUAAUGUCUCCCGAGAUUAUCCACCCAAAUCCCUAGAGACUUUCCUCUGCUCCUUUUAAUAUUUUGUGUGAAACAGUGCAGCACUCUGGCUGUCUGACUGCCAUCUCUCACUCCUGCAUUAUAAUUGGCCUUCCUUGUUUUCCAGACAUACCUGUACUUGACCAGUUCUUUUAUAUCACAUCUCAUAUGCAAGUCAUCAUUGGUAAGCUACUAUAGACUACAUCCUAUGAACACACUAUUCCGUUGCCCU
ensembl:lncRNA